AUUGAACGCUGGCGGCAGGCCUAACACAUGCAAGUCGAGCGGAGCGGCGGCCGGGUGAGUAAUGCAUAUGUAUCUGCCUGGUCGAGGGGGAUAAAGUACGACAACGGGCGCUAAUACUGCACACUUUCAGUUGCGCCUACGCAGGAUGAGCUAGUUGGUGGGGUAAAGGCGUACCAAGGCGACGAGCCGUAACUGGUCUGAGAGGAUGAGAAGUCAAACUGGAACUGAGACACGGUCCAGACUCCUACGGGAGGCAGCAGUGGGGAAUAUUGGACAAUGGGCGAAAGCCUGAUCCAGCCAUGCCGCGUGUAUGAAGAAGGUCUUCGGAUUGGAAAGGACUUUAAGUUGGGAGGCGUUACCAGCAGAAGAAGCACCGGCUAACUUCGUGCCAGCAGCCGCGGUAAUUC
rnacentral:rRNA from 1 species